GACAGAGGGGGCAAGCGUUUGCUCGGAAUCACUGGGCGUAAAGGGCGCGUAGGCGGGAUGGCAAGUCAGUCGUGAAAUCUCUCGGCUCAACCGAGAAACGUCGCUGAUACUGCCGUUUCUUGAGGGAUGCAGAGGAGACUGGAAUUUCCCGGUGUAGCGGUGAAAUGUGUAGAGAUCGGGAGGAACACCGGUGGCGAAGGCGGGUCUCUGGGCAUUUUUCCUGACGCUGAGGCGCGAAAGCUAGGGGAGCAAACAGG
rnacentral:rRNA from 1 species